GGGUUGUGAGGUUAAGCGACUAAGCGUACACGGUGGAUGCCCUGGCAGUCAGAGGCGAUGAAGGACGUGCUAAUCUGCGAUAAGCGUCGGUAAGGUGAUAUGAACCGUUAUAACCGGCGAUUUCCGAAUGGGGAAACCCAGUGUGAUUCGUCACACUAUCAUUAACUGAAUCCAUAGGUUAAUGAGGCGAACCGGGGGAACUGAAACAUCUAAGUACCCCGAGGAAAAGAAAUCAACCGAGAUUCCCCCAGUAGCGGCGAGCGAACGGGGAGCAGCCCAGAGCCUGAAUCAGUGUGUGUGUUAGUGGAAGCGUCUGGAAAGGCGCGCGAUACAGGGUGACAGCCCCGUACACAAAAAUGCACAUGCUGUGAGCUCGAUGAGUAGGGCGGGACACGUGGUAUCCUGUCUGAAUAUGGGGGGACCAUCCUCCAAGGCUAAAUACUCCUGACUGACCGAUAGUGAACCAGUACCGUGAGGGAAAGGCGAAAAGAACCCCGGCGAGGGGAGUGAAAAAGAACCUGAAACCGUGUACGUACAAGCAGUGGGAGCACGCUUAGGCGUGUGACUGCGUACCUUUUGUAUAAUGGGUCAGCGACUUAUAUUCUGUAGCAAGGUUAACCGAAUAGGGGAGCCGAAGGGAAACCGAGUCUUAACUGGGCGUUAAGUUGCAGGGUAUAGACCCGAAACCCGGUGAUCUAGCCAUGGGCAGGUUGAAGGUUGGGUAACACUAACUGGAGGACCGAACCGACUAAUGUUGAAAAAUUAGCGGAUGACUUGUGGCUGGGGGUGAAAGGCCAAUCAAACCGGGAGAUAGCUGGUUCUCCCCGAAAGCUAUUUAGGUAGCGCCUCGUGAAUUCAUCUCCGGGGGUAGAGCACUGUUUCGGCAAGGGGGUCAUCCCGACUUACCAACCCGAUGCAAACUGCGAAUACCGGAGAAUGUUAUCACGGGAGACACACGGCGGGUGCUAACGUCCGUCGUGAAGAGGGAAACAACCCAGACCGCCAGCUAAGGUCCCAAAGUCAUGGUUAAGUGGGAAACGAUGUGGGAAGGCCCAGACAGCCAGGAUGUUGGCUUAGAAGCAGCCAUCAUUUAAAGAAAGCGUAAUAGCUCACUGGUCGAGUCGGCCUGCGCGGAAGAUGUAACGGGGCUAAACCAUGCACCGAAGCUGCGGCAGCGACGCUUAUGCGUUGUUGGGUAGGGGAGCGUUCUGUAAGCCUGUGAAGGUGUACUGUGAGGUAUGCUGGAGGUAUCAGAAGUGCGAAUGCUGACAUAAGUAACGAUAAAGCGGGUGAAAAGCCCGCUCGCCGGAAGACCAAGGGUUCCUGUCCAACGUUAAUCGGGGCAGGGUGAGUCGACCCCUAAGGCGAGGCCGAAAGGCGUAGUCGAUGGGAAACAGGUUAAUAUUCCUGUACUUGGUGUUACUGCGAAGGGGGGACGGAGAAGGCUAUGUUGGCCGGGCGACGGUUGUCCCGGUUUAAGCGUGUAGGCUGGUUUUCCAGGCAAAUCCGGAAAAUCAAGGCUGAGGCGUGAUGACGAGGCACUACGGUGCUGAAGCAACAAAUGCCCUGCUUCCAGGAAAAGCCUCUAAGCAUCAGGUAACAUCAAAUCGUACCCCAAACCGACACAGGUGGUCAGGUAGAGAAUACCAAGGCGCUUGAGAGAACUCGGGUGAAGGAACUAGGCAAAAUGGUGCCGUAACUUCGGGAGAAGGCACGCUGAUAUGUAGGUGAAGCGACUUGCUCGUGGAGCUGAAAUCAGUCGAAGAUACCAGCUGGCUGCAACUGUUUAUUAAAAACACAGCACUGUGCAAACACGAAAGUGGACGUAUACGGUGUGACGCCUGCCCGGUGCCGGAAGGUUAAUUGAUGGGGUCAGCGCAAGCGAAGCUCUUGAUCGAAGCCCCGGUAAACGGCGGCCGUAACUAUAACGGUCCUAAGGUAGCGAAAUUCCUUGUCGGGUAAGUUCCGACCUGCACGAAUGGCGUAAUGAUGGCCAGGCUGUCUCCACCCGAGACUCAGUGAAAUUGAACUCGCUGUGAAGAUGCAGUGUACCCGCGGCAAGACGGAAAGACCCCGUGAACCUUUACUAUAGCUUGACACUGAACAUUGAGCCUUGAUGUGUAGGAUAGGUGGGAGGCUUUGAAGUGUGGACGCCAGUCUGCAUGGAGCCGACCUUGAAAUACCACCCUUUAAUGUUUGAUGUUCUAACGUGGACCCGUAAUCCGGGUUGCGGACAGUGUCUGGUGGGUAGUUUGACUGGGGCGGUCUCCUCCUAAAGAGUAACGGAGGAGCACGAAGGUUGGCUAAUCCUGGUCGGACAUCAGGAGGUUAGUGCAAUGGCAUAAGCCAGCUUGACUGCGAGCGUGACGGCGCGAGCAGGUGCGAAAGCAGGUCAUAGUGAUCCGGUGGUUCUGAAUGGAAGGGCCAUCGCUCAACGGAUAAAAGGUACUCCGGGGAUAACAGGCUGAUACCGCCCAAGAGUUCAUAUCGACGGCGGUGUUUGGCACCUCGAUGUCGGCUCAUCACAUCCUGGGGCUGAAGUAGGUCCCAAGGGUAUGGCUGUUCGCCAUUUAAAGUGGUACGCGAGCUGGGUUUAGAACGUCGUGAGACAGUUCGGUCCCUAUCUGCCGUGGGCGCUGGAGAACUGAGGGGGGCUGCUCCUAGUACGAGAGGACCGGAGUGGACGCAUCACUGGUGUUCGGGUUGUCAUGCCAAUGGCACUGCCCGGUAGCUAAAUGCGGAAGAGAUAAGUGCUGAAAGCAUCUAAGCACGAAACUUGCCCCGAGAUGAGUUCUCCCUGACCCUUUAAGGGUCCUGAAGGAACGUUGAAGACGACGACGUUGAUAGGCCGGGUGUGUAAGCGCAGCGAUGCGUUGAGCUAACCGGUACUAAUGAACCGUGAGGCUUAACCUUACAACGCCGAAGGUGUUU
rnacentral:rRNA from 1 species